rnacentral:rRNA from 1 species
UACGGAGGAUGCAAGCGUUAUCCGGCAUGAUUGGGCGUAAAGCGUCCGCAGGUGGUUGUGCGUGUCUAUUGUCAAAGCAUCAUGCUUAACAUGAUAAAGGCAGUAGAAACUACACGACUAGAGUGCGUUCGGGGCAGAGGGAAUUCCUGGUGUAGCGGUGAAAUGCGUAGAGAUCAGGAAGAACACCGGUGGCGAAAGCGAUCUGCUAGGCCGCAACUGACACUGAGGGACGAAAGCUAGGGGAGCGAAUGGG